rnacentral:rRNA from 1 species
CCUACGGGUGGCAGCAGUGGGGAAUAUUGGGCAAUGGAGGAAACUCUGACCCAGCAACGCCGCGUGAAUGAUGAAGGUCUUCGGAUUGUAAAGUUCUGUGCUGGGGGAUGAACAAAAUGACGGUACCUUAGUAGUAAGCCUCGGCUAACUACGUGCCAGCAGCCGCGGUAAUACGUAGGAGGCGAGCGUUAUCCGGAAUGACUGGGCGUAAAGGGUGCGUAGGUGGUUUGGCAAGUUGGUAGCGUAACUCCAAGGCUCAACCUUGGCACUACCACCAAAACUGUUGGACUUGAGUGCAGGAGGGGUAAGUGGAAUUCCUAGUGUAGCGGUGGAAUGCGUAGAUAUUAGGAGGAACAUCAGGGGCGAAGGCGAGUUGCUAGACUGUAACUGACACUGAGGCACGAAAGCGUGGGGAGCAAACAGGAUUAGAUACCCGUGUAGUC